ACUAGUAUUUAUUUAUAUGACUUGUAGUCAGUUUUAAAUGCUCUCUUCUUCUACUUGUUGCUGCGAAGGCUUUCUCUCUCUUUCUCUCUCAACUCCCUCUUCUCUCCCAAAUUUCAGCCCUCUUCUUCCUUUGUUAGAUAUGUCUCAACCAACCCUCACUCUCACUGUCCUUAGGAUCCAUAGCUCCACGAUUAUCCGAAGACCAUGAAUGUGUGGUGAUAUUUUCUCCUUUAGAUCAAUUGAUACUUCAUUUAUCAUUUGAUCUAGAUGCAAAAAUGUCAUCAGUAGAUUCAUAUAUACAUGAGUUGGGCACAAUUUGCAACCUUGCCUUUUUCCUUUUCCUCUUUCUCUUCAAGUCUACAUAAGGUUUUUUCAAUCGAAGAAUAAUGCCUUUUUUUCUAAGGCAGUAUCAAUUAAUAUUUUUUUAUUGUUAAUUUUUAAAGGUAUACAUAAGUUUAAUAUUUUUUUUAUUUGAUGAACUAUGAUAAGAGAUUUAUUUCUGAUAUGUUUAUAUUUUUUCCAAUUAUAUUUAGUUAGAAUCUAACAAAUUAUUAAAAUAAAUAUUAUCCCAGAUUUUAUAUUUUUUUCCGAAAUAACCCAACGGCUAUUUUUCCGAAUUUUUAUGCGGAUAAAAAGGUUGAAGAAACUGAGUUGAAGCUCCAAAGAUUGCAGAAGAUUUUCCCCUGUUCAAAGCUCCGAUUUUUCUCUGUUCAAAGGUUCGAUUGAGGUAACUUGUUCUCUCUUCACAACCUAUUUUCGUGUAUUGAUCUCUCUUUGUCAAGUUCAGAUUUUUUAUUCUCUGUAUGAAAUUAGGGUUUAAUGUUUGUUCAAUUUAUCAAUUUCGAUCAUUUCCAAGCUUCUUCUUUUCCCCUUUUCUCUUUUCAUAAUCUAUUUCUUCUUUGUGAAAGUUUGGAUUUUUGUUCCUGGUUUGAAAUUAGGGUUUAUGUUUCAAUUUUUAUCCUAUUUCUUAAUUUGAACAUACUGAACAAAAUAUAUGAGUUUUGAUCAUGAGUUUCCUUUUUAAUUUGCCCCUCUUCUCUCUCUCUCUCCCUCACGCGUUCACUCACUCAUGCUCUCCCUCAACCUCUCGACUCUUUCUCUCUUCCUCUCCAAGACCCAUUUUCUUCUUCUUCUUCUGAUUAUUUUCCCUAAGUUUGCAGCACUACCAACACCUUCUUCUCCUCCUGAUGACAACCACCACCGCCUGGUCACUCUCCUUCCAGAGGCUACACCAUCACCACCGUUCCUGUCCUGAUCUUUCUCUUCUUCUCCUUCCAUGUGCAAACCACCCUGGCAUCACCCAAGCUAGCCACCACCGCCAGCAGCCACGAUGACGCCGCCACCUCCUUCAGUCCCGCGAGCAUCAUCAUCACCAACAUGAUGAGAAACAACAGAGAAAUAGAGGAGAAACCAAACCCUAAUUUCAGCCACCUUCAAAUCCCGAUCUCCAGCAAACCGCUUAGCUGUUGGAGAAACCACCACCACCACCGUACUCCUCUCACUGUCCGCAACAAAACCCCCCAAGAAAUUUGUCGUUCCGCCGCCCUCCACCGCCAGCCGCCGCCAACCACCGUCUUCUCCGGCUAGAACCUGCGUUGGAUAGCUCUUUCUCUUCUCUGUUCGAAUUGAUGAUCAAUUCAUGUGUUGUUCACCAUUGAUGGUCAUCAGAGGAAGACAAAGCUGCGGUUAGAGAAAAUCCACGUCAAUUAAUGAAAGGGCCUCCGUUUGGUCAACUAACGGAGCUUAACAGAAGGGGCUGGAUCGCACGUUUUUGAAACGUUGGGGUGCCUGACCGCUACGUUUAAACACGGGGGGCCCGAUAGCUCAUUUCUGAAACAUCAGGGGCCCAAAGUGGAAUUAAGCCUACAUUUUAUUAGUAUUUGUUCUUUCUUGUGCAUUCACUUCCUGAUUUCUGACAGUUCAAAACUCUUCAGUUGUGGCUGACCCUGGGACAAUUUACCUGAAAAUCCUCUCUUCCUUUGUAAAAUAUUAUUGUUGUGUGUUACGAGCAUAUUCGUUUUAUAAUUUACCUUUUGUAUUUUUUGCC